rnacentral:lncRNA from 1 species
GCUGGCACAAUCAUCCCAACCUCACAGAUGGGGACACCAAGGGAGUGGCUCUUCCUAGUGACUUCACAUUCAGAGGGACGGUGACAAGGCUCCUGAGCUCAAGGUUAUUCCUCUAAAUUGGUGCUUCUUGAGAGAUGGCACCAACUGGGAGAACCCCAAGCCCUCUUCUCCACCUUCUCAUCGGAAAACUGGGGUGUGGGGCUUAGAUCUGAAAAUGUGCAUGGUGAGGGGGGACUGGUAAUUGAACUCAGGGGCACUUGGCCACUGAGCCACAUCCAAGCCCUAUUUUGUAUUUUAUUUAGAGACAGGGUCUCUCUGAGUUGCUUAGUGCCUUGCUUUUGCUGAGGCUGGUUUUGAACUCCCGAUUCUCCUGCCUCAGCCUCCCAAGUAUCUGGGAUGACAAGCUUGCGCCACUACACCUGGCUGAAAAUGUGCAUUUUGGUACACUCCUGUGUGACUCUACUUUGGUUGCAAUAGGAGAGCAGAUGGGUGGCCUAUUCAGGAAGCACUUGUCCCUUGCCACAGUAAGGGGUGCUCAUGUGGGGCUGCAGAGAGAAGUCCGAGGCAGAUAUCUGUGGCUAGACCAUGCCAGCACUGGAGCAGCAGAGAGGCCAGGCUGGCUGAUCCUCAAGUAAUCCUGAAAAAAAUGCUUGAAUACCUACAUCUAUAUACAUA